AACUUUUGACAACGGAUCACUUGGCUCUCGCAUCGAUGAAGAACGCAGCGAAAUGCGAUAAGUAAUGUGAAUUGCAGAAUUGAGUGAAUCAUCGAAUCUUUGAACGCACCUUGCGCUCCUUGGUAUUCCGAGGAGCAUGCCUGUUUGAGGGUCAUUAAAUUCUCAACCUUUAUUAGCUUUUGCUGAUACUGGCUUGGAUGUGGGGGGUUUAUCUUGCUGGCUCCUUAAGGUCAGCUCCCCUUAAAUGCAUUAGCUGGUGACCCGUGUGGACUUGUCUAUUGGCGUGAUAAUUAUCUACGCUGUGGAUGUCUGCAUUUAGCACUGCUUCUACCCGUCUGUUCAUUCGGACAAUACAAUGACAAUUUGACCUCAAAUCAGGUAGGACUACCCGCUGAACUUAAGCAUAUCAAUAAGCGGAGGCU
rnacentral:misc_RNA from 1 species